UGGUGCGCAUGCUUUGGCAGACGUGGCACCGGGAACUCGGAGGCGGGGAGCGGCUGCGAAGUGGCCAAGGCUGUUGGCCGCGGCAGAGCUGGCGGGCGGGCGCGGGAGCCCGGGCGGAGACGGCAGGCGGCAGCGGGGGAUGGCGCGGGCCGGGCCGGCGUGGGGGCUGCUGCUGGCGAUCGGGGUGGUCCUGCCAACCUGGCUGUCCUCCACAAAGGUCUCUUCACUCAUUGAGAGAAUCUCUGACCCUAAGGACUUGAAGAAACUUCUCAGGACCCGAAAUAAUGUGCUGGUGCUUUAUUCCAAAUCUGAGAUGGCAGCUGAAAAUCACCUCAAGUUGUUGUCCACUGUGGCCCAGACAGUGAAAGGACAAGGCACCAUCUGCUGGGUAGACUGUGGUGACGCAGAGAGUAGAAAAUUGUGCAAGAAGAUGAAAGUUGACCUCAGCCCAAAGGACAAAAAGGUUGAAUUAUUCCAUUACCAGGAUGGUGCAUUUCACAUGGAAUAUAACCGAGCUAUGACGUUUAAGUCCAUAGUGGCCUUUCUGAAGGACCCUAAAGGCCCCCCACUGUGGGAAGAAGAUCCUGGAGCCAAAGAUGUUGUCCAUAUUGACAGUGAAAAGGACUUUAGACGCCUCCUGAAGAAAGAAGAGAAGCCUCUCCUUAUGAUGUUUUAUGCUCCCUGGUGCAGCAUGUGCAAGAGGAUCAUGCCACAUUUCCAGAAGGCUGCCACCCAGCUGCGAGGUCAUGUUGUGUUGGCUGGGAUGAACAUCUACCCCUCUGAGUUUGAAAACAUCAGGGAAGAGUACAAUGUUCGUGGCUACCCUACCAUCUGCUAUUUUGAGAAAGGACGGUUUCUAUUCCAGUAUGAAAACUACGGGUCCACUGCUGAGGAUAUUGUGGACUGGCUGAAGAAUCCACAGCCGCCACAGCCCCAGGCCCCCGAGACUCCCUGGGCAGAUGAGGGCGGCUCCGUUUAUCACCUGACCGAUGAAGACUUUGACCAGUUUGUGAAGGAGCACUCCUCUGUCCUCGUCAUGUUCCAUGCCCCAUGGUGUGGACACUGUAAGAAAAUGAAGCCAGAGUUUGAAAGUGCGGCUGAAGUCCUCCAUGGAGAAACUGGUAGCUCUGGUGUCCUUGCAGCUGUCGAUGCCACUGUGAACAAGGCCCUGGCAGAAAGGUUUCACAUCUCAGAGUUUCCUACACUGAAGUAUUUUAAGAAUGGAGAGAAACAUGCAGUGCCUGCACUCAGAACAAAGAAGAAGUUUAUUGAGUGGAUACACAACCCUGAGGCCCCUCCACCUCCAGAACCCACAUGGGAAGAACAGCAGACAAGUGUGUUGCAUCUAGCAGGGGACAACUUCCGGGACACCCUGAAGAAGAAGAAACACACCUUGGUCAUGUUCUAUGCUCCUUGGUGUCCACACUGUAAGAAGGUCAUCCCGCACUUUACUGCCACAGCUGAUGCCUUCAAAGAUGACCGAAAGAUUGCCUGUGCUGCUGUGGACUGUGUCAAGGACAAGAACCAAGACCUGUGUCAGCAGGAGGCUGUGAAGGCCUACCCCACUUUCCACUACUACCACUAUGGGAAGUUUGCAGAAAAGUACGAAAGUGAUCGCACGGAGAUACAGGCCCUGGGCCUGCUGCAUCCUCAUCUUGCUGGAAGUCUGAGGGGUUAUGCCAGAGCCAGCAGGGCCUCCCUGUGGGUCUGCCCAUGAAUUGGAAGAGAGGAUAGGAAGAACUUGUACUAACAGGAUCACAUGAGAUGGAUACUCAUGUUCUUUACCUUCAACAUCCUCUCUGGAAGGUGGCAUCACAUUCAAGCGCCACCUGUAUAUUAAAGGGCUCCUGAAGGCAGCGGAGAGGGCUUGGGGCUCUGUCAGUCAUCUGAGAACAGAACAGAGACUCUGGACCACAAAAUACCCUGUUGGGAAAACGGCUGGAUAUUGAGGGGAAAUAUACUUCUCAGUAUAUACUGCUCAGAAUUGAGGAUAAAGCUGCCAUAACCACGUCAGCUUCCAGAUUCAGCUUUGGUCGGAGAGCAGUCUUCCUGUCAGUCUCCUUCACCUGAGCUGAAAGCAAUGUGCCCACAGAUCCACGUCUUAUCUCAAGCCCUAAGUCCGUGGCAUUGAAGGAAGGGAAGGAAGAGAUGCCACCAGCAUCUAUCAUCAGAAGCUAGAAACUGCAGGAGCUGGGUUCCCUUAAUCACUGGAAUAUUUUGUCAUUUCAUUCACUAGAGAAGGAAUGGAUGACCAUCUUUACUUAUCUUUUCCCAUCUGCUAUGGUUCUCAAUCCAGGGUGCAUAUUUAACCACCUGGGAAGCUUACAAACUCUCAGGAUCAGGACUCUACUCCAAAGUAAUUGACCAGAAACUAGUAAUGGGACCCUAGCACUGAUAUGUUUAAAAGAUCUCCAGGUUGCUCUGAUGUACAGGUACACUGCCUAUGGGUAGAGAGCUGUAAGUGUCUCUGGAGCCCAGUGCAGAGCUUUUUUGUACAGUCAGUCCUCCAUAUCCAUAGAUCCCAGAUCCUUGGAUUCAACCAGCUGCUGACCAGGCCUAUGCUGCUUGCUUCUCUGCUGAACAUGUUCAGACUUUUCUCAUUGUUAUCCCCCAAACAACAUAAUAUGGCAA